UACGUAGGGGGCAAGCGUUGUCCGGGUUUAUUGGGCGUAAAGAGCGUGUAGGCGGCCAGAUAGGUCCGUUGUGAAAACUGGAGGCUUAACCUCCAGCGGUCGAUGGAAACCAUCUGGCUAGAGUCCGGAAGAGGAGAGUGGAAUUCCUGGUGUAGCGGUGAAAUGCGCAGAUAUCAGGAAGAACACCCGUGGCGAAGGCGGCUCUCUGGGACGGUACUGACGCCGAGACGCGAAAGCGUGGGGAGCGAACAGG
rnacentral:rRNA from 1 species